rnacentral:rRNA from 1 species
GAUGAACGCUGGCGGCGUGCCUAAUACAUGCCAGUCGAGCGAACGGACGAGAAGCUUGCUUCUCUGAUGUUAGCGGCGGAUGGGUGAGUAACACGUGGAUAACCUACCUAUAAGACUGGGAUAACUUCGGGAAACCGUAGCUAAUACCGGAUAAUAUUUUGAACCGCAUGGUUCAAAAGUGAAAGACGGUCUUGCUGUCACUUAUAGAUGGAUCCGCGCUGCAUUAGCUAGUUGGUAAGGUAACGGCUUACCAAGGCAACGAUGCAUAGCCGACCUGAGAGGGUGAUCGGCCACACUGGAACUGAGACACGGUCCAGACUCCUACGGGAGGCAGCAGUAGGGAAUCUUCCGCAAUGGACGAAAGCCUGACGGAGCAACGCCGCGUGAGUGAUGAAGGUCUUCGGAUCGUAAAACUCUGUUAUUAGGGAAGAACAUAUGUGUAAGUAACUGUGCACAUCUUGACGGUACCUAAUCAGAAAGCCACGGCUAACUACGUG